CACGAACCCGACAAACGUUAUUCGGAAUUAUUGGGCUUAAAGGGUGUGAAGGCGGUGCGGUAAGUGCGGUGUGAAAGCCCACGGCUCAACCGUGGAAUUGCGCUGCAUACUGCCGUGCUGGAGGAAGACAGGGGUAAGCGGAACUGAUGGUGGAGCGGUGAAAUGCGUUGAUAUCAUCAGGAACACCGGUGGCGAAAGCGGCUUACUGGGUCUUUUCUGACGCUGAGGCACGAAAGCUAGGGUAGCGAACGGG
rnacentral:rRNA from 1 species